UACGUAGGUGGCAAGCGUUGUCCGGAUUUACUGGGUGUAAAGGGCGUGCAGCCGGAGAGACAAGUCAGAUGUGAAAUCCACAGGCUCAACCUGUGAACUGCACUUGAAACUGUUUCCCUUGAGUAUCGGAGAGGUCAUCGGAAUUCCUAGUGUAGCGGUGAAAUGCGUAGAUAUUAGGAAGAACACCAGUGGCGAAGGCGGCUUCCUGGUCUGCAACUGACACUGAGGCGCGAAAGCGUGGGGAGCAAACAGG
rnacentral:rRNA from 1 species